rnacentral:rRNA from 1 species
CCUACGGGGUGCAGCAGUGGGGAAUAUUGCACAAUGGGCGCAAGCCUGAUGCAGCCAUGCCGCGUGUGUGAAGAAGGCCUUCGGGUUGUAAAGCACUUUCAGCGGGGAGGAAGGCGGUGAGGUUAAUAACCUCAUCGAUUGACGUUACCCGCAGAAGAAGCACCGGCUAACUCCGUGCCAGCAGCCGCGGUAAUACGGAGGGUGCAAGCGUUAAUCGGAAUUACAGGGCGUAAAGCGCACGCAGGCGGUCUGUCAAGUCGGAUGUGAAAUCCCCGGGCUCAACCUGGGAACUGCAUUCGAAACUGGCAGGCUAGAGUCUUGUAGAGGGGGGUAGAAUUCCAGGUGUAGCGGUGAAAUGCGUAGAGAUCUGGAGGAAUACCGGUGGCGAAGGCGGCCCCCUGGACAAAGACUGACGCUCAGGUGCGAAAGCGUGGGGAGCAAACAGGAUUAGAUACCCCAGUAGUC